GCCCUGAGACCACGCCCCCGUCCGGCGAGCCCCACCCUCCCAGCCCACAGAAGGCUGAGUGACGGGGUAUACAGCCAGUCACAAGGGCCUCUAUGAGGGGGCGGAAGCGAGCCGCGUUUCCCCGCCCCGCUGCAGGCUUAGGGCUGCUCUGGCGCGACGCUGCGGCCUGUGAGAGCCAGCAGCUUUCGACUUUCCAGUCUGUUCUGGUCCUUUGGAACGUGGCAGACGUGGAAAGCAAGAGGACUCUCGCGAGCUUUGGCGGACCCUGUACAAUGGGGAUGGGGCGGGGCGGGCGACACGUGUGCAGCGUCUGGAUUAGAGCUCACCCUCUCUUGGCUUUUCACCGGGAAUUUUGUUCGUGUCCCACUUCCCUGUGCACGCAGAGAGCCAAGGUUAGCGGCUGAAGAUGAGAAAUGACAAAUGGGUUCUGUCGCUAUCUUAUAUCCAUGGCAACUUUGAAUACUCUCAACUAGUCUGUAAGGAUAAAACUUGAGAUAUUUACAUAAAGUAAAAAUGCGGUUGACAAUGGAAUGAUCCUAUUACUGCUUCAGUGGAUUUAGUUUGACUGCCUUUGGCACUAGAUGAAAAUUUUCUGGAGCCUGCAAUGGAAUACUCAAGGAGAAAGUCCCCUGGAAACUAGGACGUGCUCUUCAAAUGUGAGCAACUGUUUCCUUUUUAUUUGUUAAUGACAGAUUUAUACUAUAAAGAGCAUAAGAUUUUUCAAUGGCAAUAUUCCUAUAUGCCCAAUCUGAGCCAAGCUCAUUAACUAACUUGCUGGAUCUAGGGGAGAUCAAUCUACUCUAAGCUCUGUUGAAGAAUUAUAAAACUGGUAACAGAAUGACAUCUUUAUUUUCCCUUCUCUUAUUGUCAACUUUUCUUCCUUCUUUAAAUGUCACUUGAUCUCUUGAAAUGCCAGAUACUAGCCCGUGAGCUGCAGUACAAGGCAGGUGUCAUUUAAUUCCAUAGUGCCUGAGUUAGCCUGUAUUUUGAUGUCAAAAAGGGCUAAUGUUGGCAACUUCAUCUGCUUCCACCUGUACAUGCACUGUGUAGCCCAUUCUACAGAAUCAACCAAGUGCCCAUUUCCUGGCAGCUACUAUACCAAAUGCAGUGAACUUGGUCUUCCAGGAGCUCACGUCAUUUUGGAGGGAGACUGACACCCACACUAAAAAUGGUAACAGAGUGUGUUGCCUUCUUCUUCGGCCUGCAAAGGUGGGUAGACGAGAAAGUGGGGAGGACAGGAUGAGUCAGUCUCCGGGGGUCCUUGUGAACCACAGACAAGUCAGGAGUCCAGACCUGCUGAUGUCUUCUACAGUGUGUUGUUCAAAAUUGAGUCUCAGAGAGUGAGAGUGUCUUGCGAAGGUUGAUAAAUCAGUUAAACCAGUACUAGAACUCAAGGUGCCUUACCAGAUGCCUUCUCAGCAAGGGCAAGGUUGCCUCCAAUGAAAGGAAAUUGGUUCUUGGGGGUAACAAAAUUUAGAUCUUACAAUUUGUUGUUAUUGUUCAGUCGCUAAGUCCUGUCUGACUCUUUGUGACUCCAUGGAUUACAGCAUGCAAAGCUUCCCUGUCCUUCACUGUCUCCCAGAGUUUGCUCAAACUCAAGUUCAUUGAAUUGAUGAUGCCAUCCAACCAUCUCAUCUUCUGCCACACUCUUCUUUUGCCUUCAGUCUUUCCCAGCAUCAGUGUCUUUUCCAGUAAGUCAGCUCUUCACAUCAAAUGGCCACAAAACAGUCGUCUCCAAAUGGCCAAACUGCUUAAAUACAUAUCUGUGAUAUUAUAUUUUCAUGGGAUGGGCGGAUGAGUACAGAAAAAGAAAUAUCUAGAAAGACUUUUCACAGAGUAGGGGACAAUCAUUGUUUUAACAAACUGACUUCACUGUGGUGGUUUCAUGAAUAUGAGUCCAAACUCAUCAAAUUGUAUGUAUUAAAUAAAUACAGGUUUUAACAUGUCACUUAUACUUCAAUAAACCUGUUUUUAAAAUGUUGAGAAGCACUUCCUUACAUCCAGAUUACUGUUUUUUUCUGCUAUAUUACAUAACAAAUUCAGUAAUAAACAUCCUUCUGCAUUAACACCUUAUCUUUAUCCUUGUCUUGAAUAUUAUUUUGUCUAAUUUUCUUUAUUCCCAUUUCUUCUCUAUUUUUUCUUUAACUCUUUAUUUUUUUUCCAUCCAACCAUUACGAGUUGGUUAAUAUGUUGCUACUGAAUUACUUAUAUUCAGACAGUAUACCCUCUGAUAUGGCUUUACUAAUACUGUGAAACUUAUGUAAAUGAACAGAUGUAGGAGGCACACUCCCUUAACUUUAUUCUCUAAAACCACAUCCAUAUUUAAAAACCAAAAUUCAUAAAAGCAUCCUAGUUUAUUGGGAAAAUAUUUUAUGGUUAUACUUAUCAUAGUAAACAUUAAUGAGCAAUGAACACCAAGUGACGGUUGUCUUAUUUUUACAAAACAAAGGAACUGAGGUACCAGUGACUCAAAGUCACACUCUCAUAGUCAAGACCACAUGUUUCAUAAGUGGCAGGUUCUGAACCUGGCAGUCUGACUCCAGAGUACAAGUGUUUCCCUCCACACUAUGGUGGUGAUUAUGACACAAACUUGGAGGCAGUCUGGGCAGUUGCACAGCUGAGUUCUUAUUUCCUUGGUAAUGCUAGUGUAGGAGGAUUGUAACUCAGUUCUGGAGGUCAUCUGUACAUGUGUUUUCCAGGAGCCUGGAAAGUUUAGGGAGCUGAAAUAGUGAUGGGAUGGGGUGUGGUAGGGUCAUAAAGAACCUGACACAAACGUGGAGUUAAGAAUUUUGAAGAAGACAGACAAAACCCUGCUGGGCAGUUUGUAUAUGUGCUUUGGAGGUCAAAAGCUAAGAGCAGUUAUGGGCCAGAAAGUUCGAAGCAUGGCUAAUGUUGAACUAGCUACUCACAAGUAAAGUUGCAGAGAAGCUGCCAUGUGGUCUACGUCCUAGUGACAAACACUAGGCCACUCAAGACUCUUGUAUAAGGUCCUGUUCAUCUUCAUUAAAGGCAGCAUGUCAGAGUCCUAUGAGGGGCAGAUGCUAAGCCACAGUCAGACGUGUGGGAGGUAUAUUGAGGGAAACAAGUGUGACCUAUGAAGGCUUAGAUAGCUGAGGAGAAGGGAGCUCCUUCAGGCUGUGAUGAGGUCUGACAGCUGUGCAUAGAGAGAGAAAAGGAAAGAUGAUUGGGUAGAAAUAGUCACAGGUUGUUUGAAGCAGCUCUGAGAAAAAUCUCAGCCAGGCCAAUGAAAAUCCAGCAGAGUUUAACCUUUAGACAUCAAACAGCCCAGCUCUAACAUCCCUGCCUUGUUCUGUCUUGGGCUGGAAGGAAUGGCCUUCAUGUAAAUGCCACAGAAAGCCAGAUAUGUGGCCUCCAGAGCGGCUGGUGCACUGAGCUCUUCCUAGCAGCGUCUCUUGAAGGCGGUCUGUGUGGUGCAUCUCCAUGACCAUCUCCACAGGCACUUACUCUGGGUCAUUUUCAAACACCUCACAAAGGGAGUGCCAUCAUCCCCACUGAAAGAGGGAUACAUGCUCAGAGAGGCUAAGCAGCUUUCCAGAAGUCACACAGUCUGUAAAUGGCCAAGAUAAAACUUGAACCCAGUUCUUUCUGUUUCUACUCAAGCAUGUCCUCUUUAAGACAUCUAAAACUUUACUGAGGUCUUACAAAUUCUUAAAAGUAGGCAGGGGGCCUUCCCUGGUGGUACCAGUGGUUAAGAAUCCACCUUGCAAUGCAGGGGACCUGACAUGACAUGGAGCAGUAAGCCUGUGCACUGCAACUACUGAGGCCGAGUGCUGCAACUAAGACCCAGUGCAGCCAAAUAAAUACAUAAAUAAAUGAAUACUUAAAAAAAAAAAGUAGGUAGGGGAUGCUUUGUAUUACCCUGGAGCGUAAGGGGAGGAGUCUUAGAUCAUACAGCUUCAUGGAGAGCAUAAAGGACGUAAAUCAAAUUAGCAGAAAUGGGAUGUGAUCAACGUAUACAUUCUUGGAUUUAAAAUUAAAGUUUUUAAUCAUUCAUAAGGCUCCCUGAGACUUUAUUUUCUUGGACUCCAAAAUCACUGCAGAUGGUGGCUGCACCCAUGAAAGAUGCUUCCUCCUUGGAAGAAAAGCUGUGACCAACCUAGACAGCAUAUUUAAAAGCAGAGACAUUACUUUGCCAACAAAGGUCCAUCUAGUCAAAGCUAUGGAUGUAUGUCAUGUAUGGAUUUGAGAGUUGGACUAUAAAGAAAGCUGAGCAUGGAAGAUUUGAUGCUUUUGAACUGUGAUGUUGGAGAAGACUCUUGAGAGUCCCUUGGACAGCAAGGAGAUCAAACCAGUGAAUCCUGAAAGAAAUAAGUCCUGAAUACUCAUUGGAGGAACUGAUGCUGAAGCUAAAACUCCAAUACUCUGGCCACCUGAUGCGAAGAAUUGACUCAUUUGAAACCCUGAUGCUGGGAAAGAUUGAAGGCAGGAGGAGAAAGGGACAACAGAGGAUGAGAUGGUUGUAUGGCAUCACCAAUUUAGUGGACAUGAGUCUGAGUAAACUCCAGGGGUUGGUGAUGGACAGGGAAGCCUGGCGUGCUGCCGUCCAUGGGGUUGCAAAGAGUCGGACAUGACUGAGACUGAACUGAACUGAACUGAAGGCUCCCUGGUCUGUAACUUGAAAGAAUUUCAGAUUUGACUGACUCAAACAGUUGAAUACUUUAGGUAUAGGCAGGCUGAUUUUCCCGAAUGAGCUACUCAGCUCCUGAACGAUGCUCCUAGCUCAUUUAGCAAUCUUGUCAUGACUUAGCUUCUUACGCUGAGUCAUUGUCCCAUAUUCAGAAACACUAAUGAGGCAAAAUCAAUUCUAUUUCAUUUUGAAAAGUAGCCAAGAAAGAAAAUUACUGCUAAUGCUGUUGAUGGAAGUGAAAUGCCUAAAAAGAAAAAAAAUCCUUAGCUAAAAAUUGAAAGUUCUGGAUAAACUAGAGUGCAAGGUGAAAUUUUUGUGUAGAACAUUCACAUCCUGGAUGGGAACACUCUGUGGUCUAAUGGAGCAAUAAGAAAAGGACAUUUAUGAUGUCAUUUCAAGAGAUUUCUCUGGCUUCAGCCAUAACUGUUUUCAGUUGGUUUUUGAUGAUUUUGGAAC
rnacentral:lncRNA from 1 species